AAUCCGAGCCGUGGUUUGAAGGUUGAGGGGGGGCUUAUUGAUGGCGUACGGGCAUGGCUAUGGACUAUGGUGGGCUGCACCGGAGCCCACUUUGCUCUUCCUUCAUAUAGGCGCAAGCCGAUGAUUACUUUCCUCAGUUGUAAGUGGUUCCUCUCCGCCAAUGAAUCCAUAGGUGUGAGGAGUCUUUCAGAGUUAGAGUCUGAGCACUCGGUCCAGGUCGCUAUGAUGGCUGCUCGUAAAGCCGAGCUUGCUCAGAAACAGAAGGAGAAGUCUGCCAACCCUCCUCUCUCAAGCAAAAACGAUGAAGAGCUCCUUCCUACUGACGAUGGUGACGAGACUUCUGAGGAGGAGUAUGUGGAUAUAGAUAUCGACCAAGAAGAACUUGAUGCAGGUAGGACAGCCGACGACCAUGAGUCGCUCGCUUCCCGUCGUGCGAGAUUCAGGCCUGGUGGCCAAGCUCCUACCCAGGUUGAUACACGUGGCCAGUCCACGCACGAACGACCCGUUGGUUCUAUGAGGGGUGAUAUUCCGAAAAAGAAAAAAAUCGCUCAUAAACCACACGUUGGUCAGCGCUCCUAUGAAGUGGAUUUAGGAGACUUCGCCGACAGGGAGGAAGGGUUCUUUGAAUAGGGCGAACUUCCAUCGGGUCCGGUAUCUCCUGGAUCUGAUAACAUGGAUUGCUUUAUGCAGCAGAUGUGCGACGCCCUUCAUGACGGUUCUCUGGGCAUCGAUCUAAACAUUGAUCUUGAGCAGGUGAAUAGUGUUGAGCCCACCGUCCCAUAUUCAGGUUAUCCUGCAGAUGUCGCGAUGGAAAAGCCAGUUGAGGAUGGAGCCUAUCAUGAUGUAGGUUUCGAGGAACAUGGGUGUGCUCCUGUACCAAGUUUCUCGAAACCCGACGCUGGAUUAUUAGCCGAUAUGUUGGCUGAGCAGGCCACCAGAAGAACCGCGGGACCACCCUUUGAGAGUGAUUCAUUCACAGCGCCAGUCAUUGGGAUUAACCCAAUAUCGAUUCCCGGCAUAUCUAGCUUACCGCGGAGUGACGGACUUGCAA